UUGCAAGCAUCCACCUGGAAUGGAAAGAGGCACUUCAAAUUCUUCAAUGUAUGGGCUGAACACAGAGAUUUCCAACACAUUAUGGCAAUAGUAUGACAGAAGGGGAAGACUGAUACAAUGAGAACAUAUGGGACAGACUUAAAGCUCUGAAGACUCCUUUGAAGACACUCAAUAACAAGGAAUUCAAAACAGUUACAUUUAGAAUUGAGCAGUGUCGACAGGAACUGGGAAUCAUACAAAAACAAUUGAGUCAAGCCUACAAUGAUGCAUUACAACAGAAGGAGAAGGAACUGAUAUUGCAACUGGAAAAAUGGUCUUUGAUUGAGGAGAGUGUCCUGCAACAGAAGGCAAGAGCAAAGUGGAUACAACUGGGGGACUCCAACACAAAAUAUUUUACUGCAGUAAUGAAGGAUAGAAGUCAGCAGAAGCAGAUCCAUUAAAUUACCAAUGCACAGGGCAUCAGGCUGACUACAUUAACAGAAAUUAAGGAGGAAAUUCUGUGCUUCUACAAAGCACUAAUGGGCACCGCUGCACCAACACUACCUGCUAUCAAUCAACUGUACAUGUCUAAUAGCCCAAAACUGAACCAACAGCAAAGACAGGAACUGUGUGCUCCAGUUAUUGAAACAGAAAUAACAGAAAGUCUCAAAGCUAUUGGAGAUGACAAAGCACCAGGAAUAGAUGGAUACAAUGCAGUCUUCUUCAAAAAGAGCUGGAGCAUCAUUGGUCACCAANCAGUCUCAAAGCUAUUGGAGAUGACAAAGCACCAGGAAUAGAUGGAUACAAUGCAGUCUUCUUCAAAAAGAGCUGGAACAUCAUUGGUCACCAAGUCACUAAUGCCAUUAAGCAGUUCUUCAACUCAGCAAAGAUGUGCUGACCAAUCAACUGUGCAACCAUUACUCUCAUCCCUAAAAUGUCCAAACCAGCUUCAAUCAAAGAGUAUAGACCUAUAGCCUGUUGUACUGUUAUCUACAAACUCAUUUCCAAAAUACUGGCUAAUAGGUUGCAAAAGUUGAUGGCAAGCCUCAUCAAUGAAGCCCAGGCAGGCUUCAUUCCAGGUAGGAAAAUUCAAGACAACAUCAUCCUAGCCCAUGAGCUUGUCAAAAGCUAUACUAGGAAGCAUAUCUCCCCCAGAUGCAUGAUUAAGAUAGACCUCCAGAAAGCAUAUGAUUCAGUGGAAUGGGUGUUUUUACAGCAAUUCAUGGAAUAGAUAGGAUUCCC
rnacentral:lncRNA from 1 species